rnacentral:rRNA from 1 species
AUCGGGCAGGCCUACACAUGCAAGUCGAGGGGUAGAGGGUGCUUGCACCCUUGAGACCGGCGCACGGGUGCGUAACGCGUAUGCAACCUACCUAUUGCAGGGGAAUAGCCCAGGGAAACUUGGAUUAAUGCCCCAUAGUCCAUAUUGAGAGCAUUUGAGAUAUGGUAAAGAUUUAUCGGCAAUAGAUGGGCAUGCGUCCCAUUAGCUAGUUGGUAUGGUAACGGCAUACCAAGGCUACGAUGGGUAGGGGCCCUGAGAGGGGGAUCCCCCACACUGGUACUGAGACACGGACCAGACUCCUACGGGAGGCAGCAGUGAGGAAUAUUGGACAAUGGGCGGGAGCCUGAUCCAGCCAUGCCGCGUGCAGGAAGACUGCCCUAUGGGUUGUAAACUGCUUUUUUACGGGAAGAAACACCCCCACGUGUGGGGGCUUGACGGUACCGUACGAAUAAGGACCGGCUAACUCCGUGCCAGCAGCCGCGGUAAUACGGAGGGUCCGAGCGUUAUCCGGAAUCAUUGGGUUUAAAGGGUCCGUAGGCGGGCGUCUAAGUCAGUGGUGAAAUCUCGCGGCUCAACCGUGAAAUUGCCAUUGAUACUGGUCGCCUUGAAUUAGUGUGAAGUGGCUAGAAUAUGUAGUGUAGCGGUGAAAUGCUUAAAUAUUACAUAGAAUACCGAUUGCGAAGGCAGGUCACUAACACUAUAUUGACGCUGAUGGACGAAAGCGUGGGGAGCGAACAGGAUUAAAUACCCUGGUAA